UCCGUAGGGGGCUAGCGUUGUUCGGAAUUACUGCGCGUAAAGCGCACGUAGGCGGAUUCUUAAGUCUGGGGUGAAAGCCCGGAGCUCAACUCCGGAACUGCCUUGGAUACUGGGAGUCUCGAGGAUGGAAGAGGUCAGUGGAAUGCCGAGUGUAGAGGUGAAAUUCGUAGAUAUUCGGCGGAACACCAGUGGCGAAGGCGACUGGCUGGUCCAUUUCUGACGCUGAGGUGCGAAAGUGUGGGGAGCAAACAGG
rnacentral:rRNA from 1 species